GAUUAACUGGCUGUAAAGGAGUGCCGCGCGCACGGGCUGGAUAUUCCC
rnacentral:ncRNA from 1 species